rnacentral:rRNA from 1 species
GACGAACGCUGGCGGCGUGCUUAACACAUGCAAGUCGAACGGUGACGAGGAGCUUGCUCCUCUGAUCAGUGGCGAACGGGUGAGUAACACGUGAGCAACCUGCCCCAGACUCUGGGAUAACAGUUGGAAACAGCUGCUAAUACCGGAUACGAGACGGAGAGGCAUCUCUACCGUCUGGAAAGUUUUUCGGUCUGGGAUGGACUCGCGGCCUAUCAGCUAGUUGGUGAGGUAAUGGCUCACCAAGGCGACGACGGGUAGCCGGCCUGAGAGGGCGACCGGCCACGACUGGGACUGAGACACGGCCCAGACUCCUACGGGAGGCAGCAGUGGGGAAUAUUGCACAAUGGGCGAAAGCCUGAUGCAGCGACGCCGCGUGAGGGAUGACGGCCUCGGUUGUAACCGUACUUCUAGCAGGAGAAGACGAAGUAGAGGUACCGUGCAGAAGAAGCACCGGCGUAACUACGUGCCAGCAGCGCGUAAGAGU